AUAUUUUUAAUUUAUUUUCUAUGCUUAAUAUGGAUUUUCGACUUGUUAGCAUAUGCAUUUGUCUCCUCGUUGUCUGUAUUUUGUCUAUUAUUGAUUUAGUAUGCUGUUUCCAUGUGAGUUGUGUAUCUAAGUGGAGUCCUAUGUAUUUGACAUGCUUUGUUUGUGUUAUAUGCGUGCCGUUCAGUAGGAUGUUUGGUGGUAUCUUUUUUCGUAGCGUGAAUGUAAUAUGGUUGCAUUUAUUGGGCUUUGCUUUUAAUUGUUUAUCUUGCAGCCACUUUCCUAUUUUUGUGAUAUGUUCUUGCAGCAAAUUGACUGCUGAUUCUGGGUUAGUGUACCCGACUAGU
rnacentral:misc_RNA from 1 species